AUUGAACGCUGGCGGCAGGCUUAACACAUGCAAGUCGAGCGGAGAUGAGGUGCUUGCACCUUAUCUUAGCGGCGGACGGGUGAGUAAUGCUUAGGAAUCUGCCAUUUAGUGGGGGACAACAUUCCGAAAGGAAUGCUAAUACCGCAUACGUCCUACGGGAGAAAGCAGGGGAUCUUCGGACCUUGCGCUAAAUGAUGAGCCUAAGUCGGAUUAGCUAGUUGGUGGGGUAAAGGUCUACCAAGGCGACGAUCUGUAGCGGGUCUGAGAGGAUGAUGCGCCACACUGGGACUGAGACACGGCCCAGACUCCUACGGGAGGCAGCAGUGGGGAAUAUUGGACAAUGGGCGGAAGCCUGAUCCAGCCAUGCCGCGUGUGUGAAGAAGGCCUUUUGGUUGUAAAGCACUUUAAGCGAGGAGGAGGCUACUAGUACUAAUACUACUGGAUAGUGGACGUUACUCGCAGAAUAAGCACCGGCUAACUCUGUGCCAGCCGCCGCUGUAAAAC
rnacentral:rRNA from 1 species